ACGCUCGACACCUACGGGAGGCAGCAGUGGGGAAUAUUGCACAAUGGGGGAAACCCUGAUGCAGCGACGCCGCGUGAAGGAAGAAGUAUCUCGGUAUGUAAACUUCUAUCAGCAGGGAAGAAAGUGACGGUACCUGACUAAGAAGCCCCGGCUAACUACGUGCCACAGCCGCGGUAAUCUGAGGCGGGCUGGCGAAGGC
rnacentral:rRNA from 1 species